CCUACGGGAGGCUGCAGUGGGGAAUAUUGGACAAUGGGCGAAAGCCUGAUCCAGCCAUGCCGCGUGUGUGAAGAAGGCCUUCGGGUUGUAAAGCACUUUCAGUGGGGAAGAAAGCCUUGGGGCUAAUACCCUCGAGGAAGGACAUCACCCACAGAAGAAGCACCGGCUAACUCCGUGCCAGCAGCCGCGGUAAUACGGAGGGUGCGAGCGUUAAUCGGAAUUACUGGGCGUAAAGCGCGCGUAGGCGGUCUGAUAAGCCGGUUGUGAAAGCCCCGGGCUCAACCUGGGAACGGCAUCCGGACCUGUCAGGCUAGAGUGCAGGAGAGGAAGGUAGAAUUCCCGGUGUAGCGGUGAAAUGCGUAGAGAUCGGGAGGAAUACCAGUGGCGAAGGCGGCCUUCUGGACUGACACUGACGCUGAGGUGCGAAAGCGUGGGUAGCAAACAGGAUUAGAUACCCGUGUAGUC
rnacentral:rRNA from 1 species